UCUUGGUCAUUUAGAGGAAGUAAAAGUCGUAACAAGGUCUCCGUAGGUGAACCUGCGGAGGGAUCAUUAUUGAACGGUCUUUUGACCUUCGACCCCUCAAACCUGUGGAACCCAAACUGUGCUUCGGCGACCCCUUCGGGCGCCGCUUUUAUGCGUAAACCAGUGUGUCGUCUGAAUCUAUACAACAGAAUCAAAACUUUCAACAAAGGAUCUCUUGGCUCUCGCAUCGAUGAAGAACGCAGCGAAGCGCGAAAUGUAGUGUGAAUCGCAGAACAUUGUGAAUCAUCGAAUCUUUGAACGCACAUUGGGCCUCUUGUAACGCAGAGGCAUGCCUGUCUGAGUCUCAUUUAACCUAUAAACCUGUAUGGGUUUGUGCCUGGGCGUUCGCCUGCUUGGCGUCGCCUUGAAGUCAUCUGUCUUAUGAGCGGACGAGAUCCUGAUGGACUGACCGUUUGUAGGACCCUAAAUCAAUGAUUUGAGCUCAGAUCAGGUAGGACUACCGCCUGAACUUAAGCAUAUCAAUAAGCGGAGGAA
rnacentral:rRNA from 1 species